rnacentral:lncRNA from 1 species
CUGCCCUCCCCUGGCACCUGCACCUGUGCCCUGCCCCCCAGGGACCCACGGAAACAGCAGCCUGGCAAAGCAGCCCGAGGAAUGCCAUGCCUGCCCUGCUGGCUCCUUCAACCACCUCUAUGCUCAGACAGGGUGCUUCCCCUGCGGCAGCUCUUCCUCCUCACAGCCAGGGGCUAGCAGCUGUAGCUGUCAUGGGCUGAACCGGGCUUUUCAGGAGUCAGAUGGCUCUUGUAUCUGCCAAGCAGGGUAUGUUUACUAUGACGAGAGAGGCAAGAAAAAUUCUGACACCAACAGUGACCAAGACUGCCAACCUCAAGUGGAGGAGCGCUGUGCUCCUGGGGAAGUCCGUCUGGCAUCCACACGCAAAUGCAUUUCUCCCGAACUAUACGACUGUUCUGCGUUCUGUGGUGCGCUGGGCGGAGAACUGAGUGCAGAGUUGGGCAUGUGUCGCUGUGAGCAGUACAUCUCCGCUGAAGAGCUGUGUGACCGAGAGUGCUUGCUGAACACCCCACAGAUCUCUCUGAGCCUUGGCAUCCAUUCAGAGCUCCUACUGAGUGUUGGGGAAGGAGAGGACAGAGUGAGUUGAGACAGGCUGGGCCCUGCUCCCCAGGUGAUGUGAGGCUGGAGAAAGCUCAUAGAUUGCAGCCAGAUAAGAGGAUUGUGCUGGGUUCGAAGGUAGGGUGUUGGUGCGAUGUGGAGGAGCCAGACUGUGCACAGAAAGAAGGGAGUGGCUCCGUACUGUACAGAGGACGUGGAAUAUGGAGAAGGUG